rfam:Hymenobacter sp. CRA2 NODE_2_length_629405_cov_105.036_ID_267, whole genome shotgun sequence.
GGAGAGGUGGGUGAGUGGCUUAAACCAGUAGUUUGCUAAACUGCCGUAGACCUAAAGUUUACCGGGGGUUCGAAUCCCCCCCUCUCCG